UAUGAAAUGUGAUAAAUAAUGCUGUUAUCAUGGAUCUUGUGGUUUUACCAUACAGAGUCUCUGAAUAAACACAUUUCGUGGCUGGAUUGUAAACCUCCUGGAUGGGAUACGAAUGCCGGAAAACCUUCCGUAGAUCAGCUUAAGGGUAAAAUAUCCAUCACAAUUCACCUCAGAGUUACACACUACUACACCUGCUGUUGGAGG